rnacentral:lncRNA from 1 species
UCGGCAGAUUUGCAUACCCCUAUUCACCCCCCUCUUCCAGUCUUCGGAUGACCGGAGAGCCGGUCGAGGCUGAAUGCGGGUAAUUCGUUUAAUUUUUAUGGUCCUCUUCAAAAAAGGAAGUUUUUCUAUCGAAAUGCAGAGCAUUAACUCAUACCGUAUCAGUAUUCUUUAAUCCUGGGUUCAAUUCAGCGCGCCGGAAGAUUCUAAAGAAUUUAUUUUCAUAGUUUGCAGAAUCUGAAACACUAAACAAAACUUUUCUUACUGAACAAGCCUACAGUUCCAUUUUUGCACACAUCAGUUGUUUAACAUAUACAAAGCAAUCUUUGAAGUUAAAGACAGUGGAUGUAAACAGUUCGUUUCCUUUCUUAUUCCGAUCGCGCGCUUGUUUUAUUCCUCUGUUCUGUAAACUUCCCCGCUAACUGUUACCAGCUGUCAAUCAUUCGUGACCUUUUCAGUCCCGUAGCCCACGCCAAAGAAAUGUCGGAUGUUUGCGGCUUUGUCAAAACAGAGAAAAAAGAACAGGCCGUCAUGAAUGUCAAGAUGUUGACAUUACACAUUAAUUGGGAUAAUCGAGACAUGAAAGAAGCUUUCAAUGGCCGAGUCAAAUUUUUGUUGGACAUAGUUUGCAUAUCCAGCUUCGCAACACCCUUCUACGGUUUCACAACGUUUGGAGACACUAAUCAGACAACUUUAGAUUCGUGUGCCAGGCUUGUCUAAGCUCUUGAAACAGUUCAACGCUCCGGAAAAGUGUUAAAACCGGCACAUGCCCAACUAUUUAAAGGAAGAUCAAGCUGUGUGACACCCCAGUCCAAGCCAGGGAUCAGUGCAUCACAGAAUAUCACGUUAUUUUCUUUUGACGGGUGAACGAAAAUCACGGAUUUCGAAGUUGCGCGAAACUAUGAAGAUUCAUCUCCGCGUCCUGUCAGUUGCAGUCGGACUAUGCUGGGUUUUGGUGCCAACCGGUUCAAAGGUGAGGAGUAAUUCUAGCUCUUAUCUCUGUAAAUUUGUAGUUUAACUGUUUCUUCGAGUUCUUCGAAUCCAUUUGUUUACGAAAGGUAAACGAUUCGACAUUUCGGGCAAACAUUGUCUGACGUUCGUUCUGUCCUGAAAGUUCCACAGACAGUCAGGAUUAAUGCAGGUCAACCUGUAGGUGUUGUAGGGCUUAAAAUGUAAUAAAAGUGAGGGGGGUGUUUAGAAGACCUUCAAACAACAUUUGAUGUAUUUGUUGACCCGCCUGCCUCGUGUUGUUGUUUACUAAACUUGGGGGGUGAGAUAAAAAUAUUGCCAUGACGGGGUAUCACAUGGGGAGGCCAAGAAAGCCGAAGAUAAGAAAGUUGUCUUGCAACGAAAUCACGCCAUUGCUUAAGUUACAACAUACGCGAAUUCGUCAUACGCAAAAAUGACGUCCAAACUUCAUCAUAGUUUGCGAAAACUGACAUGGAUAUUUAAUUUAACACUCGCCAAUAGAUGUGCAAGCGUUACAUAUAGCACGGGAAGUCAAUAUAUUCUACAGUACAGCUUUUUUUUAUGGUAUUGCACUGAUACCAAACUGAAGCAACAAGAGGAACUUACAUGAUUAUAUAACAACAUUGAACUAACAACUAAAGAACCCUGCAAACAUUGUGAAAAUCUUCAAGUUUGGAUUACAUUAGCAUGGUUGCAUCAUAUCCUGAGACUAAAUUUAAGGCAAGAUCAUUUUCUUUGUUACUGUCUCUAUCGCAUGUUCUAACUUUGAAAAAAUUUCAAUUGUUUUUGUUAUCAGAUUAUGGCAUGUGCCAUAAAUCAACUGUUAAUUACUAUAUCAUAAAUCAACUGUUAAAUGAUAUCAUUAGGCAAGGAUCGGACAACGGAGUAAUGAAAUCUUUCCCAACUUAAAUUCCUAAGGUUCUUGUAAACGCAGUCACGAUCAAAUAAUUAUGAUAAAUCAUUGUUUUAUAAAUAGGGAUUCUGUGGCGGACAGCCUGGCAAUUUUUUACACCCAACUGGUUUCGCCCAAAAAGCUAAUUAUAGAAAUGGAGAGAAGCAUAUGAAGUUUCAUGUUGGUGAAUUGGUAAUUUGUCUGAAAUGCCACGAAGGUUUCAUAGUUUGCGCGUUAACCCAUGACACAUUUCCAUAUUUAGGGAGCAGGGUUGGCGCAGUGGUGAGAACGCUCGCCCAUCAAUGUUCCCCGGGUUCGAUUACGGCCCAGUGCCACAUGCGGGUGAGUUUGUUGUUGGUUCCCACCUUGCUCCGAGGGUUUUUUCCGGGUUCUCCAGUUUUCCU